CGGAUCUAAUACGUAUACCUGUGUACAAGUAACGUAGACACGAGAAAAAUGUAUCGGCAUAUUACGGUAUCACUUCUGCUUAUAUUUAUGUUAAAAGUUACGCUCGCUUUCUGGGUUACCGAAACUACAACAGCCCCGACUGUUUCAAAACAUCAGCCCAUUCGUCAGAGAAACCAAAAACAGGCGUUUGUCACAAAUUUUGACAACCAAAAGCACGAAACUGUUCAGACGAGAAAACAACGUUCACCAUAUCGCCUACCUAUCUCAAACGCAAUGAGUCACCUGCUUGGAUACAGUGGAAACAGUGGGAUUGAAAACUCUACUCACAUCACGAGGGGGAACAAGACCUGCCGGAAAAUCAGCUGUACUGAAAAUCAUUUCGUAAGAUCAUGUGACGAAGAUGGCGGAAACGACACGUGUGUUCCAUGUGCUGCUGGCACAUUUCUGCUAGAUAACACCUCGUCGAUGCAACAUAAUCACGAGUGUGUGACAGCCCCUCCGUGUUAUCCAGAGGCCACCCCGAGUCAAAAUCCUAACUUUUGUGGUGACCAUCGUACCUUCUGCAAGUGUGAUCUUUCACGAAACUUCUGCGGUCAUGAUCCUUGUAAUUGUAACGUAGGACAUUGUUCUUCGGUCUCGGCACCCGUGUUAAAUAUUAACUGUGGCUGUGACAGUUCAUUCCAGAGUCUAAUAGAUGAGGGUAAGAAGGUUCCAUGUUACAGGUUUUUUCGUGCUAUCAACUACAGCGAAGAUUCCGUCAAUCCUGACGACACCACAGCCAACCCAUAUGGAAACAACAACGUUUGAAAAUACAACAAUAUCAUCUGUAACACCUUCAAAUAGCUCUACAAUGUACACAUCGUCGGAAAUAUCAAAGCAAACGAUGACAAUGACGACGACAAGGACGACGACAACUACAGAACAGCCUAAGAAUGAUCAAACGUGCACCGGAAUUUCGGGAGGAGGUAUUGCUGUUAUCUGUUUAGUAGUCUUUGCUCUUGGCGUUGUUGUUGGCGGAGUUGGUAUAUACAAUCGGGAAAAAAUAAUACAAGUUCUUCCUUGUAAAUCCAAGGAUUCUACAUCUGGGGAAGCCGUCUCCUUUGUUCAUACAGCGGCAAAUACUGAAGGAUGACAAGAAUAUCUUUAAUUGACCUUGCCCUAUGCAGCAGUGUGUUUAUAUUGUUCGCGUACUACAAAUGAGCACAUGGAUUAUCAUGAGUGUCGGUACUAUAAGCGAAAUUUGAAUAGACCGAAACUUGUCUAUAGAGCAAAUGAACAAACCAAAAUUUUGAAACGACCUCAUAUUUUCAUAGCUUCACAUUAUAAUCUGCGAUUAGAGAACGAGUUUGUUUUAUUUAAUACAAAAAAUUGCUUUUAAAUCAAGGUUUUAACAUUUUUGUUUUCAAGUUGUACCAUUUUCAUAACUUAUCUAAUACUAUACAAUAGUGACAAAAAUGCAGCAAAGUUUUGAUGGGUUCAUGAAAACUAGUUUUAAUAAGAUUUUCCAGAAUUUACUUGUUUAUUUUUAUUUUUUUUUAUGAAAGGAUAUGAUUUCAUCAAAUUGUAUAUAUUACAUCAUUGUCAAAAUUUAGUACCCCGAAAUUGCUUGAUGUCUUUGAUUAAGAACAAUGUACCAAAACAACACUAACAUUUUGUUACACUUUCAUUAUUUUCACUUACUUACUUUAAGUGAACUAUUCUUCAAAACUUCUUUUUCUUCGUUUUAUUUUUUAUUUUGAGUUGAAAGAUAAGUAUAAUCAUAGCUAUUAUAGACUUGUGUCAUAUCAUGUGAUAAGUAUGAUGUAACCUAACCUUUGGGUAACUUUACUCUAACACAUGGAUCUUAACUAGCAAGUGGUGUGUAAAAUAAUUUACUUUAAAAAAAAAGUUUGCCUUUUUCCGGUCGUUGAUCAACCACCAUUAAAUGUAAGUUUUGAGACUAGUUUAAUAAAUUAUUCGUUUUUGUAUUGAUUUCCAUAUUGGUUUAUGUAUGUAUGUAUGUAUGGAUGGAUGGAUGGAUGGAUGGAUGGAUUAUUAUAUUAUAUUAUAUUAUAUUGUAUUUAUGUUUGGAUGUACGAAUGGAUGCUAGAUGAGAUUAUGUCUUAAUUAUUGAUGGAUAUCAGUCAUGCAUGUGAACUUUUAUCGAUUCAUAACAAUUUUAAAAUACCCAUCUGUUUCUGUUCAUGUAUAAAUCAAUAAAGUAUGUUUUGUGUCUA